rnacentral:misc_RNA from 1 species
AACGCAUCUUGCACCUGGCGGUAAUCCGUCGGGUACGUCUGGGUGGGUGUUGUCCAACCAAACCGCCUGCCGGCUGGCCGGCGCAGUUGACGGGAGCGGCGCGCCGCCCCGUUGGAAUGGCGCCCAAGACAACCUCGGCACGCCUCGUGUGCAGGCGCGCGCCGACCGACAAGAUGGAAGCAUCGGCUGUCGGGGGCGCGUGCGUGCACGGCGCGAGGCCGUUUCUACAGCCCCACCUCAGACGAGACCACCCGCUGAACUUAA